CAUCACAAAGUAUUUCAAACAAGGUAAGACCGGAUGGACAUAUGCACUCUAUUUUAAAGUUUACCACAAAGUAAACAGUGAGUAAUCUUCACGGGCUGGCAGGUGUGGCACAUUUGUUGCUAAUGUGUCUCAAUGCAGCAACAGGGGGCUGCCAAGGUGUAUUCAGGUGCGUCUGGGCCUUGCUGAGGAUAAUACACGCGGGGCGAAUGAUUAGGACUCCCACAACCCCCUGCGGAGCGCCUGUCUCAGAUUCGUCAUUCCCAGACAACCAUCUCUGCAGUGAACCGUGAGAGUUUUGUCGUAUGAAUUCAGGUCGAUCUUGUUUUGUGCACCUUACGGCUUUGACAGCUGCCCCAGAGGGAGGGAAAGACCCGCUUUCAUCCUUGGAUGUUCACCUGACCCUUUUCAUAAUGUAAUAAAGCCUAGUAAUGUUUACAUUAUUGGUUUUGCUUCAAAGAAUCCUAGAAAUUUGUAUUCCAAGCGGGAGGUUGUACUUUUGAC
rnacentral:lncRNA from 1 species